AGUGAACGCUGGCGGUAUGCCUAACACAUGCAAGUCGAGCGGCCGCACAGUAAGCUCUUUCUUUUACGGUUGGCGAGUGACGGACGGGUGAGAAGUACAUCACAAACUUCUUAGACUUGGGGAACAUCGUGGAGCAACUUCCACUACUGCAUCAUAUGACCUACGGCUGAAAUCAGUAGAUCAUCGCACCUUGCCCGACUCAUUGAGCCGAUGUCGGAUUAGCUAGUUGGCGAGGUAAAGGCCCACCAAGGCGACGAUGCGUAGCUGGUCUGAGAGGAUGAUCCGCCACACUGGAACUGAGACACGGUCCAGACUCCUACGGGAGGCAGCAGUGGGGAAUAUUGCGCAAUGGGCGAAAGCCUGAUCCAGCCAUACCGCGUGGGUGAAGAAGGCCUUCGGGUUGUAAAACCCUUUUGUUGGGAAAGAAAAAAAGCAGGUUAAUACCCCGCUGUUCUGACGGUACCCAAAGAAUAAGCACCGGCUAACUUCGUG
rnacentral:rRNA from 1 species